rnacentral:rRNA from 1 species
UGCUGCAGCCAUAUCACCCUGCAGCCCAAGACUGUCUACUCUCUGAAGCUAAGCAGGGCUGAGUCUGGUAAGUACCUGGAUGAGAGAUGGGAAAACUAGGCUGCUGUUGAAA